CUUCCCGCUGCCUCCUCCUCGUUCACCCAGCCAGCCAGCCCUGUUUCCGCCACCGCCACUGCUUUCCUCCCCUCCCUGCAACACACAGCAGCUGGAGCUUCUCCGUCCGCUUCGUCUCGCCUCUCGGCUGCCACAGUUGAUGUUCCUUUCCGUCUGUGUCUCUCCCUUUCUCCAUUCUUCCUCUGCCUCCGAGUUUCUCUUUCUUUUCCCGUUAUCAUCUAGAUGAAUCCGACUGGAGUUUGGACUUAGGCCUGCGCUAAGAAGAAGGGAACCUGCGAUCUGUGAAGAGGGGAUUUUUAAAGAAGAUUUUCUUUUAAUGUUGAUGAGAAGGACUUUAAAUGACUGCAAAAUCCUUCCUCUCAUGAGAGUCUUGAAACGGGGCAUUAAGAUGAAUCCCAAAAGAAGACAAUCUUCCCUCCCCGAAUGACUGCGAUUUAGCAGACCUGGAAACUUGCUGGAUCUUAUUUUAUUGCUGUUGUUGUCCAUGUGUGUGUUAAGACGCUGUUGUAGUCGGAUUUGAAACAUCAGAUGCUGAAAAUGUUGCUGUGUAUGGAUGAGUAUGGUAACCGAAUAAUUGAUUUUUAAAAUCAGCCUUCUUGAGCAAGUGCAGAGAAGGGGAGAGAUUGCUGUCGAAGUGAAGGCUCCUUGGCUAGAAAUUGAAAUAUUUGUUGCCAGGUUUUCCUAGAAAAGACUUUACUAGGUUAAUUUUGUGUUGUGAAGGAAUCUUUGGCGAAGGCAACAGCCCUAGGCAGAAGGGCAUUGUGUGUGAUCAUACCACAGGAUAGUACGAAGUGUGUGUCGCUCGUUUAUGCUGGGUUAACUGCCUCUUUUUUACUCACUAUUGAAAUUCCGAUCCUGCAGUCCUUACUCACACGAGACUCCAGUUGACGUCAAUAGGAGCUUUUUUUGAGUAAGGACUGCAGGAUUGGACCAUACAAUUGGACAGUAAGUACCUGUAAAUGUCGUGGAAUGCAUCCUUUCGGCUAUGGAUGGACGUAGUUUACACAUAGGAGAAAUCCCUUCUAGAUCAUGCAUUGCUCUUACAUGUAAUGCAACUGGAUCCUCUCCGACCUCUUUGUGAUGAUUGCUUGAAUAAUACCAGGAUCUGGUGUAACAUAUCCAUUCAAGUUUUUCCUCAUUUUAAGUUCUGCAUGGUGUACUCUAGUAGUGGAUAGAGCACUGGAGUGGAACUCAGGAGACCAGGAUUCUAUUCCUGUCUCUACUACUGGCCUGCUGGGGUGACCUUGGGUAACUCACUUCAUCUCAACUUCCCGAUCUGUAAAAGGAGGAUAAUGAUACUGACCUUCUUUGUAAAACACUUUGAGAUCUCCAAAUAAAAAGUGAUAUUUAAGAGCUUUUUAUUAUUACCAUUAUUUCUGUUUAAUGGUUAGUCAAUUCAAAUGUAAUAUCUACUGAUUUCUGAACAGAAUUUUUUGGAAGGUCAUUGAUGUAUCUGCAUAAAUAAAAAGCCCUUACAAGACAGUUUAUAUUUUUAAAUAAAUAAAUAAAACUUGCUGGCAAUUUAAAAAACUUUUGUGCACAAUUUUGGGAAUUCAUUGCAUAUAUGCUCUAUGGGUAGAAUGCAGUGUAGCUCAACUAGCAUUCUAAAUGUAUCAAGUUAUUGAGGAUUUUGGUAUUAAGUCCGAGUUACAGUAGUGAAUAGGAGGAAGGCAAUGAUUAAUGCUAUUUGCCAAGAAUGUAAAUAUAAAGUCAUGCUUAUUGCAUUGACUUUUAUCCACAGGCGCAUACAAUUGCACCAUAUAAUUAAUUCACUGGGGACUAUUCAUCUUGAGAAGUAAAUAACCUUAAGGUCAGGUGAAACUUUCAGUAAUACAGAAAAAAAAACAGAACAAAAAACAGCCAAAGUAGCCUGCAGCAUAGGGAAUAAGAUAUGUGUACAGAUAACCAUGUUGUGAUUUUCAGGUUUACAAUCUGGAAGUGACCAUUCAUUUUCUCUGAUAUAGGAACUGAGUGUAAAAUUCUAUCCCAUUUCAAGUUUCCUUAUACUAGUUCCUUAGUAUAAUCAAGCAACAGGAAAUUCAGAUAACAUAGCACAAAAUUAUUUUUUUUUCUGUAAAGUAACUACAAAACCUUUUUUCCCCCCCAGUCCAGAAGCUCUAAGAUUCAUUUCAGUAACUUGCAUUAAUACAAUUGUAUUAAGAAUUUUUAUUUUUGUGUGAAAUGUUCAAGCCAUGUACAAUUAUAGAGAGCAAAUUGCGCCCUUCUGUAGGGGAAAAACAUAGAAAGCUACAAAACUCACAGAGUUUCAGUUUAGAGUUGUUUCCAAAUAAUCCUAUUAGGAGUGGAUUCUAACCUUUAGAUAUCCAGAUGUCACAAGAUCAGUAUUUAUACAAACGUUCUUUGGAAGCAUCCACAAAGGGCUCCCUGUGGCUAAUACUCCAGCCAAGCAGGCGUGUACCUUCUGCACCAAAUGCAAUUUCUGAGUGAGCUUCAAGGAUAGCCCAUAUAGCAGUAAUCCAAUAUCAAGGUCUUAAGGGAAUGGCCAGGGGUAAGGAGAUCCACAUGAGAGAGAACUGUUCAGUCACCUUACAAGAUACAGAUGCGAAAAGAGUUUUGUCACUGAAAGAACUUUGAAAUCCAGAAAAAGAAUAUGAGGAUGCAAAAGCAUGCUGUGAUGGGGUGUACCAGGCCCUUCAUAGCCCCUUCCUGGAGGUCUUAUGGUCCUACUACACCUCACCCCAGGAAAGGAGUAGCAAAGCUAGGUCCUUCAACUGUGCCUAGAGAGGCUGCAUGAAAGCAGUAAACCAGAGUCCAUCAGGCUCAGAGUCCUCCUCUCUGGCCAAAGGAACUUGAGGGACAACCAGAGUUCAGAGAGAGAGGACCUGAGAACUUUAACCAUGAGGAAAGAGGUGAAGAUAAAGGAGCCAGGUGGAAAGAGGCCUAGGUAAAUAGCAGUAACAAAUUUAAGUGGCUGCUGUUUAUGGGGCUUCUGGGUUGGAACCCAAAGUAGUAGGCAGGCCCAGGUUCUCCCACCAACCACUGGUAAAGUGCUAUAAACCUCAAAAAGGAGACAAGACUUGUUUGGAAGCACAAGUGAAGGACUCAAUUUUAAGAGCACUGUCCCAAAUCCACCUUCCAGAUACUUCCUCCCCACUUACUAACCUCUGUCUUUUCUGGACUGAGUUUCAGAUGGAUCUUUUCCGUCAAAGAUAUUAUAUUGGCUAGACACUGGAAAAGCAAACUCGCUCUCUAGGUUUUAUGAUUAAAAAAAACAUCUAAUUGCAUGAUAGUUACAUACCCAUACAGGGAAAGCAAAUUUCAAAUCCUGUGGAGCCCCACAUGAGAGCUAUGAGGAUUAAUAAGUAAAUUCCUAACACACACUCUGAGAUCUUUCUGAGAAGCACUAAAGUAAUUCUGUCUAUUCUGUCAGGAUGUGCAAGUGAAUCAGUACAUCUUAAUGAUCAAGGGAAUCAAAGGUUGUUAAAGUCAGCAUGAACAUUUGACUGCUAUCCCUUGCAAGAUGAUGAUGGGCUAGAUUCACAAAAAAAAAAGGGCAAAAAAAAUCUUAAA